GAGAGUCGUAAGCCAAGGGUCAGACUGAGAGUCGUAAGCCGAGAGCCAGACUGUGAGAGUCAUAAGCCGAGGGCCAGAUUGAGAGUCGUAAGCCAAGAGCCAGACUAAGAGUUGUAAGCCAGUGACCAGACUGAAAGUCGUAUGUCACGAUAAGCUUGGUGCUACUUCUUUAUUUUCUUUAUUAUUUGCUUAUGAAGAAUGGUGA
rnacentral:lncRNA from 1 species